AGGACGAACGCUGGCGGCGUGCUUAACACAUGCAAGUCGAACGAGGCGCUUGCGCCUAGUGGCGAACGGGUGAGUAACACGUGAGCAACCUGCCCUUGGCUCUGGGAUAGCCUCCGGAAACGGGGAUUAAUACCGGACAUGACCUUCUCCUGCAUGGGGGAGGGUGGAAAGUUUUUCGGCCAGGGAGGGGCUCGCGGCCUAUCAGCUUGUUGGGGGGGUAACGGCCCACCAAGGCGACGACGGGUAG
rnacentral:rRNA from 1 species